CUACGGGCUGCUCCAGUAAGGAAUAUUGGGCAAUGGACGCAAGUCUGACCCAGCCAUGCCGCGUGCAGGAUGACAGCCCUACGGGUUGUAAACUGCUUUUAUACGGGAAAAAUUCCCCGGUCGUGAAUCGGGGUUGAUGGUACCGUAAGAAUAAGCAUCGGCUAACUCCGUGCCAGCAGCCGCGGUAAUACGGAGGAUGCAAGCGUUAUCCGGAUUCAUUGGGUUUAAAGGGUGCGUAGGCGGAAUGAUAAGUCAGUGGUGAAAUCCUACAGCUUAACUGUAGAACUGCCAUUGAUACUGUUGUUCUUGAGUACAUUUGAAGUGGGCGGAAUGUGUCAUGUAGCGGUGAAAUGCAUAGAGAUGACACAGAACACCGAUCGCGAAGGCAGCUCACUAAACUGUAACUGACGCUGAGGCACGAAAGCGUGGGGAUCAAACAGGAUUAGAUACCCUCGUAGUC
rnacentral:rRNA from 1 species